AUGCUCAGAUUACUAAUACAUAGAUGUAAUAUAGCAAGAAGUUUGAAAGCCAGUUCAGAGAGCCUCUUUCGCUACUACGACAACGUAGUCACCGUCUUCAUCAAAAUCUCUUCCCUCAGGGUUGAGUCUAUCCAUCUCUGGGAGAUGGUCAUACCCAUCUUCUUCUCCAACACGCUCAUCGGCACCAUGAUCAUCAUGCUUUAUUGGCGACAUGACAGGAACAGUAACAUCCUCAAAGUAUUUAGAUUCAGACUUCAGCAGUGGCUUGUCAGGGAUGGUUUUCUCCUUGAAGAGUUCAUCAGUGCCACUGUUGCGCGUUAUUGGCGACAAGUCAGGAAUGACGUCCUCCUCAAAGCAUCCAGACCCGCAUUUCAGCGGCGACAUGUCAGGGAUGAUUUCCUCCUUGAUGGGUUCACCCACAGCACCGGCGCCGCCUUCAGUCUCACACUUCUUUGCCGGCGACAUGCCAGGAUUGACGACUUCCUCGAAGCAUUCAGAGUCACACUUCAGCAGCGAUAUCUCAGGCAUGACUUCCUCCUCAGAGAGUUCAUGCUCAUCAGCACCACUGGUGCCAUCUUCAGGUUCACACUUCACCGGCGACAUGUCAGGAACGAUGUUGGGCAACGGCACGUCGGGGAUGGCUUCAGCAGAGACAUCAUCUGCGCCGUUGCCAUCUUCAAGUUCGCUCUUCACCGGGCACAUGUCAGCGAAGAGCCCCCCAAAGGGCAAUUCGGAAUCGGACAUCACCAGCAGUGGCUCGCCAGGGAUGCUUUUGACAUCAGGCUUGGCCUCAAGAGGCCCCAUCUGAUGGAUAGUUGGUUCAUCUUCUUCAAUCUUCAAAGGGUUAUCCAAGCGAUCACCAGCGAUGCGUCCAUGCAGGCCGCCAUUACUGUUGGCGCGUCCAUCCAAAGUUUCUGCGGAAUGCUCCGACCAAUCUAA
rnacentral:rRNA from 1 species